GAUGAACGCUGGCGGCGUGCCUAAUACAUGCAAGUCGAGCGAACGGACGAGAAGCUUGCUUCUCUGAUGUUAGCGGCGGACGGGUGAGUAACACGUGGAUAACCUACCUAUAAGACUGGGAUAACUUCGGGAAACCGGAGCUAAUACCGGAUAAUAUUUUGAACCGCAUGGUUCAAAAGUGAAAGACGGUCUUGCUGUCACUUAUAGAUGGAUCCGCGCUGCAUUAGCUAGUUGGUAAGGUAACGGCUUACCAAGGCAACGAUGCAUAGCCGACCUGAGAGGGUGAUCGGCCACACUGGAACUGAGACACGGUCCAGACUCCUACGGGAGGCAGCAGUAGGGAAUCUUCCGCAAUGGGCGAAAGCCUGACGGAGCAACGCCGCAUGAGUGAUGAAGGUCUUCGGAUCGUAAAACUCUGUUAUUAGGGAAGAACAUAUGUGUAAGUAACUGGGCACAUCUUGACGGUACCUAAUCAGAAAGCCACGGCUAACUACG
rnacentral:rRNA from 1 species